rnacentral:lncRNA from 1 species
UACUAAAAUGUAUGUUGACAUAAAAAGCAGCAUUGCUUUAACAGUCAGCUGCAGUAAAAAAAUCCCACAGGUUUCUUUCUUUUUACAAGUCAAAAGUUUGGGACAUAACUUAUCCAGACCUGCCCUCCCAAAGGAAAAUCCCUGCCCUGCUGACAGCAUCCUUGCGCAGUUAAAACCCAGGGACAGUUUUGCAGAUAAAAGCCCUCUUCAGAGUAUUUAGUCUGGUGGCCUUUACCCAGGCCUGAAAGUAAUGUCCUGACACUGCGCAGCUCUGCUCAGCAAAG